rnacentral:lncRNA from 1 species
CUUGUAGCACAGACUUGUGGACUAACUCCUUCGGUGUCUCUGGAAUGCAAAUUUUCUUUCACAGUUUAGCAGUCUUUUUUGGAUUUCAGCACAGUGAACUAACACUUUCCUGGAUUCCAAGACCUCCAGAGAACCAGAUGGAUGAGAGGAACUGGGAAAAAGAACCCACACUGUUUGAAAAAGGCAGGAAAGGAACUCGAGAGGAAACUGCUCAAGAGAUCAUUCUGGGUGUCUGUGCUUUGACACUGGGGACAGAUUUUCAAGGCCAGUUCUUCUAAGUGGACACUUUGGUCUCUCUGGAGCCCUGUGAGACCGUUCCUUUCCAGACAGGGGUGCCACACGCCAGGUCUCCUAGGGAGAAGCAGCUUGGUACUGCUGGACACCUACCCACUCUCUCAUGUUCAACUGGACAGUCUGCUCCCUAAUGCAACCAAGGACUCCUUGGAGCAAGACUUAUACGUCGGCUUGUCACCUGCUCUUAUGUUCUUCUCACUGACAUCAGACCAGACAUUUCCAUACUUUGAGUCAAAGUGUCCUCUCCUCUGGAGAAUUUCUGGAACAAGUCCCUCUCUAACAGAAUGCAUUUCUCCUCUGCCAUUAAGAAUGCCUCACUGUCAGCCUGUUUCUCUCUGUGUUCUUGGUUUUGUUUUUGUCUUCAGUGUAUUUUGAACUUUGGGGGAUGGGGUCCAUGCCUUCAAUUAUCAUUUCCAUUCCAUAGCUAACAAAGUGUCUGUUAUGGGCAUUAGGUAUGUAGUAAGUGUUCUUUGACUCAUGAGUGAGGAAAUAAAUCGAAGAGGUGAUUUUCUUG